CCCCUCCCCGCCCUGCCCCGGCGCAAGCGCGGCGGCUCUACCCAGCGCCGCGGUCCUGGCUCUGGCCAGACGUGGGGGAAGCCGGUUGCGGCUGUCCCUCCCGGGCCGCGGUUCCCUAGCUCCCCCGCCCCCGUCCCGGCACCACCGCAGGGCCCAGAGGGCCGAGGCAGCACCUGCUGGGACGGGAGUCCCGGCGGCGGCAGCUCCAAGUCCAUCAUGAUGAGCUGUGGACCGUGUGUUGGGGCUCCCCGACGGCGGCCCUGUUCCGGCUGCCGAGGCGCGGCGCGGACAGGGCGGCUCUGGUGGCGGCGGCGGCGGCGGUGGCGGCUGCGUCGGCGGCUCCUCCGGGCUCCCCGGCACUCGCUCAGGUCGUCAAAGGCAAACGGAGAAGCCCCUUUAGGUCGGAGAGUGGUCAGUAUUGCCCACCCAGAGCUGGGAGAAAAACGGGAACCCCAAGAGAACCUCUUCCCACCAAAGCGCAGCCACCACGCCACAGAUG
rnacentral:lncRNA from 1 species